GAUGAACGCUAGCGAUAGGCUUAACACAUGCAAGUCGAGGGGCAGCAUGGUCUUAGCUUGCUAAGACUGAUGGCGACCGGCGCACGGGUGCGUAACGCGUAUGCAACUUGCCUCACAGAGGGGGAUAACCCGUCGAAAGACGGACUAAUACCGCGUACACUUGGGAUAGGGCAUCCUGACCCAAGGAAAUGAAAUUCGCUGUGAGAUAGGCAUGCGUCCCAUUAGCUAGUUGGUGAGGUAACGGCUCACCAAGGCGACGAUGGGUAGGGGAACUGAGAGGUUGAACCCCCACACUGGUACUGAGACACGGACCAGACUCCUACGGGAGGCAGCAGUGAGGAAUAUUGGUAAAGGGGCGAGAGCCUGAACCAGCCAAGUCGCGUGAAGGAUGACUGUCUUAUGGAUUGUAAACUUCUUUUAUACGGGAAUAACAAGAGCCACGUGUGGCUCCCUGCAUGUACCGUAUGAAUAAGCAUCGGCUAACUCCGUG
rnacentral:rRNA from 1 species